rnacentral:lncRNA from 1 species
CGUCUAUAUAAAUACACUCUUCCAUGUGUGCGUGUGCGCAGCGUAGUCGUAUGUGUGUGUGUGUGUGUGCGUGCGUGCGUGUAGUCGGUGCGCGUAUCUGAGAGAAGCGAAUUGACUGCGUGUAAAGCGCACAGAAUCUGUUGGACCCCGCACACACACACAAACGCAUACAGAUCAUUAACGCACACAUCUACCGCCACACAGGCACACAUACACGUUCAUACACUUCCACACACACAAACCGAACAUGUUUUAUUAAACUUCUAGCUAGCAAGACUGCCUGGAAGUAUUUCACUCGGAUUCUUGUGUAUAUAUGUGUUUUGUGCUGUGUGGGGUCUAUAUAAUACUGACACACACUCACAAAUAUAUGUAUAUAUAUAAUAUAUAAUAUAUAUAUUGUGUGUAUAUAUAUUAUAUAUAUAUUUAUAUAUAUACAUACAUAUAUAUAUAUGUGUAUAUAUGUAUACUUGUUGGAAGCAGGUAUUUAACGCAAAACAGCACCAGGAGUGGAUAAAAAAAAAGCUACGCGGAAUACAUUACGAUCAAACUUGCCCCUAUCAUUAUUAUCCGGCACUUUAAACUUACCAAUUAUUUGAAAACCUAUCUACCAAGUAACCCAUCUCUCUGUCAGUCUAUCUAUCUUUUUAUAUGUAUAUGUAUAUAUCAUAUAUAUAAAAGCAUUGUUAUUAUUAUACACGAAAUUAUAUAUAUACAUGUGCUAUAUAUUAUAUAAUACAUAUAUUGAAUCUACUUGUCUAUAUACAUAUAUAUAUAGACAUAGAUCGAUUGAUCGAUACAGAAAGAAUAUAGAUAUAUAGAUGCAGUAAUAUCUGUAUACAGAGCUAACGCGCACACACAGACACACUCACAUAUAUACAUACAUAUACAUAUAUAUAUAUAUAUAUAUAUAUAUAUAUAUAUAUAUAUAUACACGCUACCGAUUCCUUCUCAAUGAAAUCUGUAAAAGUGUUAUAAUUUUCGAAAAACCAGGAUCGUAUAUUAUUCUCUCCAUGCGCCUCUGACACAUCAACGAUAUCUCUGAGCAACGGAUAUAUAUAUAUGUAAAUAUUCUAUAUAUAAUAUACAAAAUAUCAUAAACUUAUAUAUGUAUAUAUAUAUAUAAAUUCUUAUAUACAUACACAUAUAUAAACGGUCAUAUAGAUCGUGUAACCACAUCGAUACCAUAACAAAAACAGAAUCACACGCACACACACAAACACACCUACACACACAAACAUGUAAGUGUGUGUGUAUAUAUGUAUAUGUGUAUAUGCCUAUGUAAACAUAUAUAUGUACACACACACACGCACGCACACACACAUAAACAGUUCGUUAACCAAUAAUAUUAAUAUUUCCUUUAAAGAACACAAACAACAGUAUUCAUACAUAUACACACAUCAUCUAGGUAUAUACAGCUACCACGAUCAUCAUCGCCAACAUUACAUGUGAAUAUAAAAAGUAUAUAACAAGUAUAUACACUAUUUAUAUUAUACACACACACACGCAUACACACAUACAUACAUACGCGCCAAUAUUUAUAAACAUAUACAUACACAGACACAGAUAAAUAAAUAUAUAUAUAUUUAUACAUAUAUAUAUUACGGGAAAUACAACAACUACAGCAGCGAAAGAAAAGGAAAAGAAAAAUAUAAGCAAAGCACAGCAAAGGAAAGGAUAUACACACACACGUAUAUAUAUAUAUAUAUAUAUAUAUAAUAUACGCGUGAGUUAUAUAUAUAACUUAAAUAUAUAACACAUAUACAUAUAUAUAUAUAUACCUAUAUAUAUACAUAUCUAUAUAUCUAUAUAUAUACAUAUAUAUAUAUAUAUCUAAAUAUAUAUAUAUCUAAAUAUAUAUAAUACGAAACAAAGCGUUGCCUGAGCUAUUGUAGAUCGACUAGCUGUUGCAGCGGUUGUUGUUGCUGUUGUUGUUGUUGGUGGUGGUGUUCCCGCCGCCGCCACCUCAGCCGUAGUAGUUGUUAUCCUUAUCCUUAUUAUUAUCCUUAUUAUUAUUAUUAUUAUUACCAUUGUUGUUGUUGUUGUUGUUGUUAUCAACAUCAUCAUCAUCAUCGUUAUUACUAUUACUAUUAUUCUCACCGCUGCUGUUGCUGUUGCUGUAGUUGUUGUUGUUGUUGUUAUAGUUGUUGUUCCCAUCAACGGCAUCAUUGUUUCGGCAUGAGAUCAAACGAAAUGACGGCCCAUACUAGUCCCUCGCUCAACACGGAGACUUCGAUAUCGCUAAGUCAGAGUAUGGACUCGGUUAAUACAACACCCGAGGAAGAGGUAAGUA